rnacentral:tRNA from 1 species
GGGGGUAUAGUGUAGUGGAAACAUGCCUGUCUGUCUAACAGGUGUCACGGGUUCGAAUCCCGUUAUCCCCG